UGGGGGAUAUUGCACAAUGGGCGAAAGCCUGAUGCAGCGACGCCGCGUGGGGGAUGAAGGCUUUCGGGUUGUAAACCUCUUUCGCUAUCGAACAAGGCCCGCUUAGGGUGGGUUGAGGGUAGGUGGAGAAGAAGCGCCGGCUAACUACGUGCCAGCAGCCGCGGUAAUACGUAGGGCGCGAGCGUUGUCCGGAAUUAUUGGGCGUAAAGGGCUUGUAGGCGGCUUGUUGCGCCUGCUGUGAAAACGCGGGGCUUAACUUCGCGCGUGCAGUGGGUACGGGCAGGGUUGAGUGUGGGAGGGGUGACUGGAAUUCCAGGUGUAGCGGUGGAAUGCGCAGAUAUCUGGGGGAACACCGAUGGCGAAGGCAGGUCACUGGGCCAUUACUGACGCUGAGGAGCGAAAGCAUGGGUAGCGAACAGG
rnacentral:rRNA from 1 species